AUGCAAGUCGAGCGAAUCUUUGGGAGCUUGCUCCCAUUGGUUAGCGGCGGACGGGUGAGUAACACGUGGGCAACCUGCCUGUAAGACUGGGAUAACUUCGGGAAACCGGAGCUAAUACCGGAUAAUCCAUUUCCUCUCAUGAGGAAAUGCUGAAAGUCGGUUUCGGCUGACACUUACAGAUGGGCCCGCGGCGCAUUAGCUAGUUGGUGAGGUAACGGCUCACCAAGGCGACGAUGCGUAGCCGACCUGAGAGGGUGAUCGGCCACACUGGGACUGAGACACGGCCCAGACUCCUACGGGAGGCAGCAGUAGGGAAUCUUCCACAAUGGACGAAAGUCUGAUGGAGCAACGCCGCGUGAGCGAUGAAGGCCUUCGGGUCGUAAAGCUCUGUUGUUAGGGAAGAACAAGUACCGGAGUAACUGCCGGUACCUUGACGGUACCUAACCAGAAAGCCACGGCUAACUACGUGCCAGCAGCCGCGGUAAUACGUAGGUGGCAAGCGUUGUCCGGAAUUAUUGGGCGUAAAGCGCGCGCAGGCGGUCCUUUAAGUCUGAUGUGAAAGCCCACGGCUCAACCGUGGAGGGUCAUUGGAAACUGGGGGACUUGAGUGCAGAAGAGGAAAGCGGAAUUCCACGUGUAGCGGU
rnacentral:rRNA from 1 species